rnacentral:rRNA from 1 species
GAUCAUGGCUCAGAUUGAACGCUGGCGGCAGGCCUAACACAUGUAAGUCGAACGGUAACAGAAAGCAGCUUGCUGCUUUGCUGACGAGUGGCGGACGGGUGAGUAAUGUCUGGGAAACUGCCUGAUGGAGGGGGAUAACUACUGGAAACGGUAGCUAAUACCGCAUAACGUCGCAAGACCAAGGAGGGGGACCUUAGGGCCUCUUGCCAUCGGAUGUGCCCAGAUGGGAUUAGCUAGUAGGG